rnacentral:lncRNA from 1 species
AUACAUAUUAUAUAUUACAUAUAUAUAAAAUCUAGAUAUUAUAUGUAAUAUAUGUAUAUAUAUUUAUGUUUUUAUAAAUAGGAGGAGGAGUUGCUAAUUGAGAGGUUAGAGUUUCUUUUAGUCUCAAGAUUUAUUUUAGGAGUCUCUCUCCUAUCUAGUUUUAAUAUUAAGUUUUGAUUAAAUUAGAUUAGUCUAGUUUAAGUUCAAACACUUGUACUUAAUUUUGUAAUUCAAUAUAUUUUCUGUUAGUUCAUUACUUUAAAUUUCAAAUUGUCGCCUGGAUGGCUGGGUAUCGCUACUUUAUGCUUUAUUUACUCUAAUUGUCCAGUAAUGCAAUUUAAAACUUUUACAAAAUUAAGCAAAAGUAUGAUAGGCUAAAUAGCAUUGCUUGAUUUAAAUACAAGAUUUAUUUAAUCUUAGAGAAAACUAGUUCUUUCUUCUCUUGCACCAACUUAAAAAAGAUUGUUUUACAUUGAUCAAUAUAAUACAAAGCUCAAAAACUGAAUUGUAUAAUCUAAGAUUAAUGUUAUACAAGAUCCCUUGUUGUAACUAAGAUUUUUUUUCUAGAUCAAUUGCAUCUAAGGAUUUUGAAAACGUAAUUAAACUUAUGGUCAAUUUUCAAACUAUUUUUAGAUACAAAAUAAUUUCAUUGCAAAAUUUCCAACAAUUUCAUUUACCUUGAAAAAAUUGCUUGAGUUUACAAAAAGAGGAGGAAGACACCUAGAAAAUCUAAUGGAAAGAAUAAAAAUUCAAGUAUUUAGAUCAUGCCAUUCUGUACAUUUAUCGCUUACUUUUCAUUUCACAAUCUUCUAAAAAAAAUCACAAAAAAUACAUUUUACUUGUAUUCAUUACUUACAACACCAAAAUACUCAAAAUCUUGCAAACCAGCUCUCGUGGAUACGAUCUCGGACUCCGAGUAUUAUGCUGCACUGGUAGGUUCCUACGCUUGGGAACUGAAUUAAGAAGAUAAAAACCUUACCCGAAAGUGACAAGCAGCGGACCCAUAUAUAUAGGGGCACUGGGGGUCCAGGAUAAAUUCAAUGCAAUGAUUACCCAGGCGCCGUCAAUAUUCUCGAGGAAUAAUUGGUCUCCUGCAAAAAAGCCCCAGUAUGCGCGCCCCAAGCCUGCGGUGUUAACCGACGCUCCGUGUUCCCGCCUAACUCAUCAUUUAAAGCUGCCUCCUAGCUAUUCGUGCCGCCGUUUCAGCAAUAAUGCUCCAGACUCACGUGUCCGUUUGGAGAGACACGUUGUGCUGUUUGGAAAAAUGACCGAGGAUUGUAAUUAAAUACUCGAAAAUCCCUCGGCCCUCCUCGCAUUUCUGUAAGUAGAGGGGCUACUGAUGUGGGAAAUUCUCCACCGGACUAAGUCAAGUACAUCGCCCUGCGCAACACAGAACUUGGUCGGCCCAUGAUUUUCUCCCCGAAGGUUGCUUUAUUCCGAACCCUCUUGACCAAGGUAAAACGAGUCCAAAGUGUGGGAACUCGCAAGUAUCUCCACUGAGCUCGCCCAGAGCCAAAGUGUUGUCUCCUCCUCGCCCUUGGGCGAGGUUAGAAUACUUGACUUGAUCAAUCUCCACCAGAUUCCUAUCUAUACGCCUACGCGAGAUUUUCUCUCCAAAGUCCGCGACAAUUACGGGAUACUCUCCAAUGGCAAUCUUUCCAAUUAUGUCUCCUACAUCUCCGAGAUAUCUUCCAUACUUAUCUUUCCGAGGAUCCUCGCUGUGAUCCAUGGGCCACGCUCAUUACUCCGUCAUAUAAAAAGGUCGCUCCCCCUUAACAAGAUGCAAAACAGACCCUACAAUUCUCCCCUUGAGCUCCUUUUACCUUCUGUCCAUCGCCUGGGUCUGAUCUCCUUCUCCACGCGGAGGGUUCUAGAGCGGCCUCGCCCCGGCCAUUUUUUCUGUUUCGCCUUGCAGGUCCGCCCUCCGAGUAUCCGAGGCUCAGUACCGAGGAGACAGAGCAAUACUGACUGUUGGUUGCUCGCCGAUUUUCUAAUUAGUUUUGUUUUCAAAAAAUUGUCCAGAAUUUAAAAGAUUCAAGUCCAGAAAAAUUGUGCUGUAAAUUUUCAAUCCCCUUGGGCUCCUUUAUCCUGCUGUCACUCGCCUUGAUCUGAUCUCCACGCCGGAGGGGUUUAAGCAGCCUCGUCCCCGGCCAUUUAUUUCUGUUCGCCUAUGCAGGUCGCCCUCCGAGUAUCCGAGGCCCAGUACCGAGGAGACAAAACAAUACUGACUGUUAGUUGCUCGCCCAGAUUUUUACCACAACAGCUACAAUUAUUAUAUGCAAAAAAAGGGGUAAAAUUCAAACGUGAUUUACCUCUAUGUGGUUAAGAAGUAUGUAAAUAACCCAAACGUGAUUUAGCUCAUGUAUUGUUUACAUUUAUGUGGUUAAUAAAUUUGCAAAGAACUUUUCUAUGUGAUUUUAAACUAAAUUGCGAUCCUUUAUUGAGAGAAGUUCAAAAAAUCUUUUGAAAAUAUUACAUACUCCCUUGUAAUUUUUAAUAA